rnacentral:rRNA from 1 species
AGCAACUAUACGGUGAAACUGCGAAUGGCUCAUUAAAUCAGUUAUCGUUUAUUUGAUAGUACUUCACUACAUGGACAACUGUGGUAAUUCUAGAGCUAAUACAUGCUAAAAACCCCGACUUCGGGAGAGGUGUAUUUAUUAGAUAAAAAACCAACGCCCUCCGGGGCUCCUUGGUGAAUCAUAAUAACUUAACGAAUCGCAUGGCCUUGAGCCGGCGAUGGUUCAUUCAAAUUUCUGCCCUAUCAACUUUCGAUGGUAGGAUAGUGGCCUACCAUGGUCUCAACGGGUAACGGGGAAUUAGGGUUCGACUCCGGAGAGGGAGCCUGAGAAACGGCUACCACAUCCAAGGAAGGCAGCAGGCGCGCAAAUUACCCAAUCCCGACACGGGGAGGUAGUGACAAUAAAUACUGAUACAGGGCUCUUUCGGGUCUUGUAAUUGGAAUGAGUACAAUUUAAAUCCCUUAACGAGGAACAAUUGGAGGGCAAGUCUGGUGCCAGCAGCCGCGGUAAUUCCAGCUCCAAUAGCGUAUAUUAAAGUUGUUGCAGUUAAAAAGCUCGUAGUUGAACCUUGGGCCUGGCUGGCCGGUCCGCCUCACCGCGUGUACUGGUCCGGCCGGGCCUUUCCUUCUGGGGAACCACAUGGCCUUCACUGGCCGUGUCGGGGAACCAGGACUUUUACUUUGAAAAAAUUAGAGUGUUCAAAGCAGGCCUUUGCUCGAAUACAUUAGCAUGGAAUAAUAGAAUAGGACGUGCGGUUCUAUUUUGUUGGUU